ACUACAUGAGACUCUGGCAGUUUUGAUCAGAACAUGGAUAUUAUCAUUAAACAAGGCCUCCUCAGAUUGUCAGUCUUUUUGCUGUGGACUACAGGUCUAAUUGAUGGGAGUGAUGUCACGCAGACACCAAUACUGUGGAAAGACAAAGGUGAAAACGCAACAAUAGAAUGCAACCAAACCAAGGGUUUUGACUACUUCCAGAUGUACUGGUACAGACAGCUGCCAGGACAAAAUAUGAACCUAGUAGUGUUCACAUCAACAGUCAAAAAAGAUCAUGACUUUGAACCUCCAGGCAAAAAGAAAUUCUCAGCCACAAAACCUGAUGCUCAGAGUGGGACGUUGACAGUGAAGAAUCUGGUGCCAGAAGAUAAAGGCUUGUAUUUCUGUGCCGUUAGUAAACACAGUGAUACAGACACAUCUCUGCUCUGUAUUGCAGAAACUGGCUUCAGUGAGGAGAAAUUUCCAGCAAAGAAGAGCGAAGCUCAGACUGGAUCUUUGACGGUGGUGAAACUGCAGCCUGAGGACAGUGGAGCGUUUUUUUGUGCUGUGAGUGGACACAGUGAUACAGGUGACUUGGACAGCUGCACAAACACCCAACUACCGGUUGAUAAAAGACAACGGUCUCUUUGA